AACUAUAGGUCAUCGUACGGCUUUCAACAAUGAGCAAAGCCCAUACCGCAUAGUCAGCUAUAACAGGCCCCGAUAAGACAAUGUAAAACAAUUCAAACGAGAAAACCAACGGCCUUAUUUAUGUAAAAAAAAAUGAACGAAAAACAAAUAUGUAACACAUAAAAAAAACGACAACCACUGAAUUACAGGCUCUUGACUUGGGACAGGCACAUACAUAAAUAAUGUGGCGGGG
rnacentral:lncRNA from 1 species